GAAAUAUUCAUUAAUAAGGAAUCUAGUUAAAAAUCUAGAGCUGACGCGCAGCGGUGAUAAGUUCUAUCUAUUUAUUAAGACACUGAAUGUUUUUGGGAAGUCAAAUAGAUGCAAUGCUUUAAGCCCGAAGACUUGCCUAAAGAAUUA
rnacentral:ncRNA from 1 species